GAGCUCGUCGCCUAGCCAGGCCAGGGCAGCGGGCUUUUAACCCGCCUAGUUUGCGAGUUCAAAUCUCGCCGAGCUCGCCA
rnacentral:tRNA from 1 species